AAAUCCCUGCUGUGUUCGGGACCAGACCGAUAUGUUUUGAGCCAACACCAAAACAUAGGGAACCUGAUCUUGACUGGCGGCCGUCCUGCCCCGCAUUGACGGGGACUGCGAAAACCAAGUCGGAGGUGCCCACCUGCCAGCGGCAGGUUCAAAACGUCGGGCGUUGCGGCAUGGCGGGGGAGAU
rnacentral:other from 1 species